rnacentral:tmRNA from 1 species
GGGGAUGAUCGGCCUAGACAAAAGAUUUACUUUAAUAUGUGCGAUACCAAGUUCAAUUUACUUGUUAAACAGAUUGAACCACAAUAAGUGCUAAACAAACACUUAAAAAAGCAGGUCCUGUUCUUUCGUUUAUUCAAAGAAAAGAUCUUGCUGCAGUUUACGCUUAAGUAAACUCCACCCACUCUUCUCAUGUCCGAUAGGGAGAUAUGGGUGUCAUAAAUUCGGACUAGAGAAUGUGUCUGUCUCAACACAAACUCAAGGUUAAAGAGGCUCAGUGUAUUAUGGUUUUGUUGGUUUUCUACAUAAUACUCUUAAAUUUCUGAAACAAACUAUGUCUCGUAGAAUCGUAUUAAAGCAUUUUUUGCACGCGGGUUCGAUUCCCGCCAUCUCCACCA